rnacentral:rRNA from 1 species
UCCGGUGGCCAUGGCGAGAGGGAAACACCUCUUCCCAUUCCGAACAGAGCAGUUAAGCCUCUCAGCGCCGAUGGUACUGCACGGGAGACUGUGUGGGAGAGUAGGACGCCGCCGGGA